rnacentral:rRNA from 1 species
UACGAAGGGGGCUAGCGUUGUUCGGAUUUACUGGGCGUAAAGCGCACGUAGGCGGAUCGUUAAGUCGGGGGUGAAAUCCUGGAGCUCGACUCCAGAACUGCCUUCGAUACUGGCGAUCUUGAGUCCGGAAGAGGUGAGUGGAACUCCUAGUGUAGAGGUGGAAUUCGUAGAUAUUAGGAAGAACACCAGUGGCGAAGGCGGCUCACUGGGCCGGUACUGACGCUGAGGUGCGAAAGCGUGGGGAGCAAACCGG